UUGUUUGAGUGGAUUAGUGUCAUGUUUUUGUUAGUAAGAAAUGCAAAUGGGGUAUACUAAGAGACUACUUUUAAAGUGUAAAGAGUUUUAUUCUUUUGGAUGUUUUGCUAAGUUUUCAAAGUGUUAAUGGUUAGAUUGAGAAGAUUGCUUUUCAAUAUGGGUUUAUAGGAAUUGUAUAAGUUUGGGUUCCUCUAACUAGGUUUGAGAUUUUGUUUAAAAAAUUAUAAAGAAAAGGAGGAGUUAUGAGAUUGAAUUAUGUUUGCAGAAACCUAUUGAUAUUAAUGUACCCUGGUUUUGUGGAGUUAAGGAAAUAUUUAAGUUUGAUGUGAAUACAUUGAAGUUUUUCCUAAGUUCUGUUAGCAAGAAAAUUCAAAUGAUUGAGUUAAAGUUGUAAGACGGAGAAAAUUGUUAACUAUAUUUAGCACCAUAUAUGCUAAUUCAAAUGGUUCUGUUAAGAGUUUGCUUUGAGUUGUAAGAUUGAGAGAAUUGUGACUACGUAUAGCAAUAUUUAUGUUAACCUGUUAAUGGUAAUGAUGAAGCUAAGGGAUUCUUUAAGUUUGUAGUCACCUUAAGAGUUUUUGGUUUAGAAAGGGCUUGAGGCAGCUAAGACUACUGUAGUCACCUUGGACCUAAUUCAAAAGAGAAAUGCCAUCUUUAUCAUCAUCUACUCCCAUACUGGGAGGUGUAACAGCUAUGGAGAUUGCUGUAAGCCAUUAAUAGUUAUUUUUUUUAUAUAUAUAUUAAGAAAGGGGGACCUGUGGGAGCCCGUUGUCGGGUUCCUUGUGGCUUUACCCAGCAGGUCUGCAUAGAGGAUGAUUAGACCACGGGCCUAAGUGCAGGUGUCUGGGAUGGUCUGCACUUGGCUGUGCUGGGGGAGGAGGUCUUUUGCUCCACCCCUUGACUUCUCUAUAAAAACCCUGGGGCAGAGACAGUCGGGCCGUUGCAAUAGGUUCCAGGCCCUCUUGAGGCUAUCCUUUGUUUUCUAUCUGUUUAUCUCCGCGAGAUUCUCUGCAAUAAAUCCUUCUAUCUAAUAUUUCCUGCUGCUCGCACUCAAGAAAACUCUGGGGAACUGUGGGGGUGGUUGGGUAAACGCCCCACAGUUAUUAGAAUACGUAAAAGCAAGAUAUAAAGGUCUGAGGAUAAAAAAGGCUUAAAUAAUGAUUUAAAAAAAAUGACUUGAGAUAUAUAAAAAAAAAUAAAACAUAUUUCAGAUUUCUUUGUCUUGCUAUUCUGCUGUUACAUUGAGACUCCAAAGGGUCAUAGUUGUAAAAAUGUCUGUCUACUCUACAGGUAUGAAUGAAAAAUGUGGCCACAUGUAAGUUUGGUUUUAAAUGUCUGAGUUUGCAUGUCCUUUGUGUUAAGGAAUACAAGUUAAUACUAGUCAUCUGGCUAUUCAGAUACUAGUUUAAAGCAUAAACUGUUCUAUUUAAAUAAAAAAAAAACUAAGAGGUAUAUUUGACUAAUAUAUCUAUAGGAGAACAAAUUGGCCUGGUUAUUGUUACCAAACUUAGAGAUAUUUUCAAGAUUAGGCCUAGAUUUGUUUGGCUCAGAUACAUUUAAUAGAUAAUGGUCCUCAAACCUGUCAAAGAUCUGAUGAAUAUGGCAUUUACAUUAUUUGAUAAAAAGCUUACUAUAGCAAACAGAGACUCCGAGCUCCCCAGCUCCUAGAAAUGACUCCCAAGGUCUCCAAAGAAGAUAUGGAACAAUGACAAGAAGAUGCCACCUGAAUUGCGGACAACACCGACCACUGGGCAAGACGCUCUGACUCAACACCUGCUGCCAGGGAUCUGGCAUAGAAGAAUGGACAAAUGAGACACUGACAAGAUAAAGUCAGUCUUUCUCUUCCACAGGGAGAAUUUCACAUUAUGGGCCCAGCAGCCAAGACUGAUGCUGUCCUAACACCUGUCCUGCCAACACUAUGAAGACUAUAGGAGCCUGGGACGAUGGCAGUCUGGGUUUCCACUUGGCUGACAGAUACAUCCAAGCAUCAUUUGCUGGUGACAUCCUACUGCAAAUGACUGUGAGCCCUGAACUUGCUGAAAGCUGAUAUGGACCAAUUCAGCCGAUAUGCAUACCAUCUCUUCAGCUGGUCAAUAAAACAUUCCCUUUUGUCUUUGA